AUUGAACGCUGGCGGCAGGCCUAACACAUGCAAGUCGAGCGAGCGGCGGACGGGUGAGUAAUGUAUGGGGACUGCCCGAUAGAGGGGGAUAACUACUGGAAACGGUGGCUAAUACCGCAUACUAUCGGAUAACCCAUAUGGGAUUAGCUAGUAGGUGGGGUAAAGGCUCACCUAGGCGACGAUCUCUAGCUGGUCUGAUCGGAUGAUCAGCCACACGGGGCUUGAUACACGGCCCAGCCUCCUACGGAGGCAGCAGUGGGAAAGAUUGGACAAUGGGCGCAAGCCUGAUGCAGCCAUGCCGCGUGUAUGAAGAGGGCCUUAGGGUUGUAAAGUACUUUCAUCGGGGAGGCGUUACCCGCCGAGAAAGCACCGGCUAACUCCGUGCCAGCAGCCGCGGUAAUAC
rnacentral:rRNA from 1 species